rnacentral:rRNA from 1 species
UAAGGAAUAUUGCGCAAUGGGCGACAGCCUGACGCAGCGACGCCGCGUGGGGGAUGAAGGUCUUCGGAUUGUAAACCCCUUUCGGCAGGGAAGAUGGAACGGGUAACCGUUCGGACGGUACCUGCAGAAGCAGCCACGGCUAACUUCGUGCCAGCAGCCGCGGUAAUACGAAGGUGGCAAGCGUUAUUCGGAUUUACUGGGCGUACAGGGAGCGUAGGCGGUUCGGUAAGCCCUUUGUGAAAUCUCCAGGCUUAACCUGGAAAAGUCGGAGGGGACUGCCGGGCUAGAGGACGGGAGAGGAGCGCGGAAUUCCCGGUGUAGCGGUGAAAUGCGUAGAGAUCGGGAGGAAGGCCGGUGGCGAAGGCGGCGCUCUGGAACGUUUCUGACGCUGAGGCUCGAAAGCGUGGGGAGCAAACAGGAUUAGAUACCCUUGUAGUCCCUGAGCGGGCUGGCAAGGCGCAU